GAUGAACGCUGGCGGCGUGCCUUAGGCAUGCAAGUCGAACGGUUUUGUAGCAAUACGAAGCAGUGGCAGACGGGUGAGUAACGCGUAGGAAUCUACCUCUGGGAGGACCAUAGCUUAUCGAAAGAUGGGGUAAUAGUCCAUAAUCUCGCAAGAGUAAAGGUCUUAACUGGCCGCCGAGAGAGGAGCCUGCGUCCUAUCAGCUAGUUGGCGGGGUAAAUGCCCACCAAGGCGAUGACGGGUAGCUGGACUGAGAGGUCGAUCAGCCACAACUGCACUGAGACACGGGCAGUACACCUACGGGUGGCAG
rnacentral:rRNA from 1 species